CCCGGCACCUCUGCCUCCCCACGCGGGCUCUACCCUCCAAGACUCUGCGCAGCUCUUGUGCACCUACGGAAUUCACGAAUAGCCUCCUCCCCUCUUGAAUUUAUACCAUGCUCAGCUGUGACAGCCUCUCCUCCCCAUCCAUCACAUCCUGCCACCUGCAACCUCGAAUUGGGGCGGGGGAAGCAGCACCAGGAACACCCACAUUGCCGUAGGUUAGAUUUAAGAGCAACACUGUUGUAUCCGCUCAUUUACACGGACUUCGCACAGCUGAAAAUGUCUGCGCUCCUGGAGCACAGCCAGAAGGCCUGGCAGCAGCACAGAGCACAAGUACAGCCACAGGCUCCGGGUUACUCUGGCUCCUAACAGCUCUAAAGUAGCUUCACCUAGGAUUCAACUUUUUUUUUUUUUUUGAGACUGUUUUCCUAAUGCUUGUUUGUCCACAGAAAACACUCUACUGGACACGUGGUGCCACUCACACAUGCUGUAACGAGUCCCUACCCCUGAAAGCUGAGCAAUGCAAGAAUUCCCCAGCAAGAAAAGGACACAAGAUGAGCUGUGUGUGCAGCACCCAGGCCCUGCCCAGCUGUUCUCUGUUCUGCACAGGUCUGAUUCGGAGCUAAAGGAUACAGAACUGGGGUAGAUCCCACCUGCCACCAAAAAGCAGCUCCCACAAUAAAAGCCAAGGAAGAAAGCAUUACCCAAGCAAUUAAUUUAAAAUACAGGAUGGUCCAGCUUUGGACAAAACAUUUCUGCCUUACAUGACAGGGUCAAAGGACACUUGACACAACUACAAUUUUGGUUCAGAACCAGGGGCACAAACAGAACUCUAGAAACGCAAGUGCAAGCAUUCAUCUAAUUAUUAGUUACUGCAAGAAUAUGAUGCAACAAAAACUAAGAGGCGGGGAAAAAAAUCUGAGGCAAUUUAAGGGUAAUAAAACAUGAACUCAAACAAAAAUAUUUCACUUGCACAACAAGCUUAAUCUCAAGAUUCGUCCAAUUUGCACAAAGCCCAAGCUUAAAAUAUAUAGUUCAAGUGGACAAAAAAGGCUGACUGCAGUUUCAUGAGCAAAUGUUUAUUAGGUUCCACAAACAGUAAUGUGACAUUCCUAGAUUAGUCAGAAAGGACAACUAGGUACUCAACUACAGAAAUACUGAACAUCUGUUAAUAAUCUGACUCAGUAUUUUUUUCAUAACCCAGAAUGGAUCUUUUUUCUGUUAUAUGUGAAAACUUGAUAGGGUAGAAAUCCUGAUGAUGUAGCUACACACAAAACAGCUCUAAUACAAUUCACUUCAAAACAGUAUUCACAGAUGCAUAAUAGAUAGCAUAGGUGUAAAUAAAGAACAGCGCACAUUAAAGUGUUUAAUGAUUUUAGGGAGAACCACCUGUAUGCAGUCCAAGACAACAUUCAACCUUUAAUGAUACUGAAACCAAGUUUAUAAAGAACAAUCUGUCUAACUUGAGACCAGAAAUUAAGCUGAAAGAAGAGUAAUCAAGGUUAGAUACAGUUUUUCAAGUAACAUUAAUGGUAUCAAAAUUAAGUAAGCUUUAUGAUUACAAUAAUUUCCAAUGCAAGUUUACAAAAUAGACUUACAAUGUAGUGGCCAUUUCAUAAACUUCUGUGCAUUCAACAGGAAAAGCAAGAAGUUUAGCAGGACAUGGUGGAAUAAAACAAAAUAGAAUUUUUAGCUUGCCACUUUGCAAUUCUUCAAGUUACAUACUUAUGUCACAAUAACAACCCAAGCAUACAUAUAAAUAUAGGUGCUUAAACAGCAGAAUCUCUACAAAGUGACUCAUUUUUUAAGCUGGUGGAUGCUCUUCCUCUUCCAAAAAAAGGAACUGGUUACAGACAAAUGAAUUGGUGCCUGUCAGAGACUUAAGGCUGCAACAGAUUUUUCAUUUCAGUGAAUCCAUCUGUAUUCCCAUACUUGUUUAAAAGGAAGAGCAGGACUUGUUCGUGCUUUUUAAGCUGUGGAAUAAGCAGAAAGAAUUAGAGAUGCACAAUUCUGGUGGUUUUUUAAUUGCUGGUUUCAGAUCAGGGUAGAUCCUGACACUACUAACUCAGCAAAACCCCAUAUUGGUUCCUUUCUGUUGUAAAAUCUUCUGGAGGGGGGACAAUCCAGCAGAACUUUAGCUGACUUUCCCUGUCCAUGUGAAUGUGUCCCUUUCCCCACUUUUUUUUUUGCUGAAGCAGCUUCCUCAAACCUAAUUGAUUAAAUACUCCAAUCAGGACUGAGAUCACAAUCUUAAAUUUGGUUAUUCACCCAUGUCUAUUUUCUUAUGUUUUCAGUUUAUAAUAUAAUCAUCUGUCUUCUCUUCAUCUCUCAUGAGACUUGAGCAAAACCAGUAAGGAAGUGUAACAGAAGAUGAUCAAACUGAAGUCAGAAAACAUAUUAGCUAGAUCAAACUGGAAGAUCAAAGAGACACAGAGGGGGAAUGGAAAAGGGGGCUCAACAGCUUACACUGGGACAGAGAAACCAGCUACACCGAGGAACAUUAUUGCCUUUCUGCCAGGGAACUCCCAGUAAUGACGCUAACUCUGAAGCAGUGAGACUUUGAACAGAAAUGUUCUUUUCCUACCUCUAAAAUACCAUUUUUGCUUUUCAUCUUGCUGCCUGUGGUUGGGGGAAGACAGGAAAGUUUGAAACACCCUUGAAAGGGGUUUCUGUCUUUAAAAUUACGUUUGCUUAUUCCUCUGACAAAGAACAUCACUUUGACAAAGGCUGAUGCAUCUUUUCUGGUGUACUUUUUUUACACUUUAUCUAAAGUUCUAAACUUUUAAUAAAUAGCCUAAAUUAAAAUAGCAAAGGAGAAAGCUUAAAACCAGAAAGCUUUCAAAAAUUAUGUGAAUAUGCUAUAUCUGUAAGACAUUUCAAUUUUUUCUAAAAGGAAAAAAAAUAAUCUUGCAACUGGCAAACCCUGUCACAUAUUCCAGUCUUCUACUGCACUCAGAUUCUCAGCCUAGCUCCAUGACUGAAACUGUGGCACAUAUUAAUAUUAAUCUCUAUCUGAAAUACACAUGGUAAGAAUUUUCUUACAUAUGCAACUGUCUGCCAAGUUGUGUACACAGCAAAACAGAGCCAUAUUACUGAAAAAAUCCAGCUGCCCUUUGUCCAAAUGACACAGGUGAUGCAAAACACCAGAACUAUCUUUAGACAACAAAGUAACACUCCUGAGACUUCACACUAUAGAAAAAUAAAGUAAGAGCCAUAUGUGGGGCAAAGUACAGACUAAUGAAGUCUGUGUGAUCUAUACACUAUCCUCCCUCAGUCUCAGGGUGCUUUAAUUAUUAGCACCUAUAGAAAACUGAGAAAAAGUGUUAGGAUACACUUUGCAUAUCUUCCAUGUUCCAGUUAGCUACUGUCUCCCUACUCCCAUUUGCUUCCCCACAUAUGGUUUCUUUUAAACUCUAGAAACAUAAGGAAGUAUUGCUUGGACUGGAUCUUACUUGCUCUUUUAAUUCCGUGCAGCAGCAUUUGGUCUCAUCUCCAUUACCUACAAAAACCCAAGCAAAGUGAAUGAGUAAAAUACACAUGGGCACUGCUUCCCAAAUUAAGAGGUGACAUGUGGAAUUCAAGAUUUUUAGAAGGAAGUUACUUAGAACACCCCAAUGUGUUUACAAGUUCUUCAAAAUAAGUAAACUGAAGUAAUUAAGCGAGAGUACGUACCUUGACAUUCACUAUGUGAGUUUUCAGCACUGCAGGAUUUGAUCAAACCUUGCUCUACAAGUUUGUCAGCUACAUUCAGACCACCAUUUUCACAGUGUUUCUCUACCGUUACUAACUUAACAUCUCCGUUAAACCCUUUCACUGUAAUUGCGACGAAUUGCUUCAAUACCAUUUCUUUCAACUUGUUAAGCAGUAGUGGAGACCACUCAACUUUCUCUAUUCCUGCAAAAAAAAAAAAAAAAAAGACAAUCCAGUUUGUCAUCUAAAUAAUUCCUUUAUGAUAUGACUUGAAUCUUACAUUUUUGAAAAUAUGAUGCUAAAUUUUCCAAGUAUAAAUAGCUUAAAUGCUACAGAUAAUGAACUAAAACCAUGCUUUCUAAAACAGCUUUUGCAAUGUUAACCAGUGUACUAUUUCAGUGGGAUCAUCAUGUUGUUUACCAGUAUUAAGGAAUGAACUACCACCAGAACAGGUACAGAUUUCUAAUGUUCAAGAAAACAAGUCAGGGGUUUUUGGGAUGUUUUUGUUUUGCUUAUUUUUGGGACCUUUUUUACCUGCAAGUGAACAUGUAAUUGUCUGAAAAGGCAGCUUUAAAAAGGAAUCACUGAUUGGCAGCACCCUUGAAAGUGGUAAAGUUUCUGUGUUCCCAUAGUCUGCAUACAGUACUUUCACUGCAGACUGGGAAGCUUCUAGAACAAGAGCUCUGUACCACCGGCCAUUACCUGAAAAGAUUGGGACAAGAAUAGUCACAUGUGAAAUAUCAUCUUAAAAACACAGUUUAUUCCAAGAACAAGAAUCUAUAGAGUUCUACAGGAAUUUUUAAACCCUCUGGCACAUAUAUAAGACCACUUGACAAGAAGCAGGCUCACAAAACAAGGGAAUAGUUUCUGACUGCUGUAUUCAUAAAGAUACAAGUUUUGCUUUGAGAAUAUUGCUUCAACUUGUACAGGUAAGAUUUUUACUACAAGACUGUUUUAAGGAUGUCUGCACAUUCUGUUUCUAGCUCCUUACCUUUGUUUUUCAACACACACUCCCUCUCGAAACAUAACUAAAAUAAAAAACUUAAAAAAAUCUCAUUUCCUCAAUUAUCCUGAAAGGCAACAAGCAAUAACAACAACUCAUCAUCAGAAGUUAAAGACAACUGUCAAACACUUAGGUAUACUCUGUACUCUUGUAUUCUCGCAUUUUUUAAAAUUCAUCUAUCUUGUUUUCCAUGAACCUGAUCUAGCACCCAGGUUAAUUUUCAGCACUUGCCAGGUUGUUUGUAACAAGCCACAUGCACUCAACAUUUAUUUGAAUCAACACUUUUUUUUUUUUAAAUAGUGAGCUAGAUACCAGGAGAGUAUCCCCUCUUCUGAAAGACUAAAAUAAUAAAUCAAAAUUCCCUCACUGUUAAGAAUAUUUCUGACUUGAAUUAAGAGGUCACUAAGCCUGGAAAACUUGUUAGCCUAACAAGGCUGAUCAUAACCAGUGUCACUGCCCCACGCUCACACAAAGCAACAGUGAAAAACUACUCAGGCACCCACAAUCCAGAAGUGGGCCUGCACUGCUCUGCCAUGACUUUCAUGGCAAUCUAAACAGUAAUUUGUUUUCUUCCCACUUAAAACUCCAUACAUUUUGUUGGGCACAACCUAUUCCUUAUUUUCUCUCCCUGACUGUCAGGCAGUUUCUUUGCCCUAAAGAUGCAGCCAGACUAUCCUUUGUAACAGCAUUAAGAGAUCUGUAAGCACUUUCAAGUUGGCGUUUUUCCUUUUUCUAAAGCAAAAAUGAAAGCUCUGUUUUACCCUGGUCAAGGAAAUACAAGAACAAACAAUUGUCUCACCUGAAAACUGGGCACAACAAGCUUCACCCAGUUUUGGUUGGAAGGGCUCUUUCUUACAAGAUCUGCAAUAGGUUCCUAGGGCAGCCAGCUCCCUAUACUCCUUCUUUUGAACUACAGAAAGAAAACACUUGGUAGUUAAAUACAUUUGGGUAUAAUGAAGAGCAUACUUCAGUUUUAUGCUCCCCUGAUCCCACCUUUGGCAUAUUUUAUAUUUUCCUAUUCUCUGAGGUACAUUUCCACAUGGUCCAGUUCACUAUAGGCAUUCAUUUUAUUAACUAGGUUGCAACAGUGUCUUCUUACUGGUAUUAGGAACAGUGAACACUUUUUCUUACCUUCAUUUAGAACUGGUACAGCGUAGAACAAGUCUGGGCUUACAAUUUCUGUUACAAAGACCCUUAUGGUUUCACCUACAGCCAAUUUAAAUGACUUCCAGUGCCCAAGUGAGGUUACUAAUAGAAAUUGUAAGAAAAUGAAGUGUUACCACUAUCCUCCAUGCAUAUACAUAUUAUAAGUAACUGCUACUUUAUUUGAUAUUUAUAAUAUCUUUUUGAAUUUCAAAGACAACUAUAUGUCUUUCCUUCAGGAAGACAAAUCUAAACCAAGAUAACUGAUGCUUAAUUUGCUGUUCACAAACUAUUGGCAUAUAAAAGUAGCUAAAGUUAAAAAAACACCUCAGAAAAAAUAAGAUAUUGGAAAAUAAACAUGAGAAAAGUUUCAGUCAUAAAAAAUUUCUAAUUCUCUAACUCUCAAAGAGUGAAACAGCAUUCAUUUAAGACAGACACAAAUUUUUAUCUUUUUUUGUCUGUAAUGCCACCUGCAGGGCAGCUUGUGUUCAGCUGUAAAAACUGACAACAUAACAAAAACUAUACGUUUGUUAUUGACAUCAAACUACAGUGAAACAACAAGAGCACAGUCAAAAGCUUGAAUACUGAAAAUCUAAAAGUUAACAUUCCUUUAAUUACCUUUUUGGUCAACAGACUUGUUUGGAACGUUAUUUUUAUCUUGUGGAACUUCCUUUACAGCCAAAUUUUCAGAAGUUAGUAUGUCAUUGAUCACUUUUGGACGAACUGUGGAAUUGUCCGUAAGCACCACACCUGCCCCAUCUCUGGACAGGGAGGUUACGGUGGCUUGAAGCUCUAACCCUGAAGUGCACAUAUGAAAUCUUAUUGCAGCUUUUUUAUUCCAUUUGUUAUUGUGAGGCUUUAUACCUAAGAAGUAAAAUAACUGUUAAAAUAUCUCCAUUCAGUAAUGCUGACUUUCUUCAACAUUAUAAUUUCCUUUAGAAAAACCUUUUUUUUUUUUUUUUAAGCAUAACUUGAAAUAUCAAGGCUAUUUUACUACCUUAGGGAAACACAUUGCCCUUCAUCCUCUUAAGUGGUCUCCCUAUUCCUCCUUUCUUUGAAAUGAACACAUUUCCUCAGGACUCCCAAGUUUUGUUUUCUAUAUUUUGUGAUUCUAUUAAGUAUAUCCUUGUGCCUUUGCACAGAAAACACAACUAAGACUGUUUAUGCAUUAGUAUAAUAUGGCCUUUUUAUCAAAAGAGCAGAAAAACCCCAAAGUGUUUUAAGGGCGGGGGGGACACCAGCAACAGACACUUCAAUGAAAUGUGAGUUUGAGCUUUUUCCUGUUUCCACAUUUUUCAUUUUUAAACCAAGUAGACUACAUUAGAAAGAAAUGAUAACUGUGCAGAAUUUUGAGUGAUUUGCUGUAGAAUGGGAAUUUUUAUAAGAUUAAGAAAAUUAAGAAACAGAAGUAUGGUGCCAAACUCUACAGGAAUCAAAUGAAACAUCCCAUUUCAGAGAACUGAAAGGCCGACUUGCUUCAUUAAAACAGAAUAGCUCCUUUGCCUGCAAAAAUUUUGAGUAAUAAAGUUGCACAAAAGCACAUUUACUUGUGUUUCAAGGCAGCAACCCAAAGCCAGUAAGCACUACACAGAACUAAACAACAAGUUCCCUUUGACCAGUAAAUCAGUAAAUGAAGUCCAUGCAGAUCACUCCCCAGCACUGGGAGGACCUCAGGGAAGACAAAACAAACCCCAAAAGAACAAAAUUCUGUACAGUAUUUGCUUUCAUCACCUCCUUCCCCCACAGCAGCAAGUCUCUAAAUGCAAUAGCUCUCCUAAGAGAAAGAACCCAUAAGACACACCUGAGAGCCAGCACUUAAUUGCUUGAAAUGGAAGUUUUAGGAAUGACGGUGAGAUCUUCCGUAUUUUAUCCAAUGGUACUUCCUCAAAAUUUCCAUAGUCCACAAAGCUCACUUGAACAGUUCCACCUGAAGUGAUGUUUUGCACCACAGCACGGUACCAGUUACCAUCUUC